rnacentral:rRNA from 1 species
GACGAACGCUGGCGGCGUGCUUAACACAUGCAAGUCGAACGGAAAGGCCCCUUUGGGGGUACUCGAGUGGCGAACGGGUGAGUAACACGUGAGUAACCUGCCCUUGACUUCGGGAUAACUUCAGGAAACUGGGGCUAAUACCGGAUAGGAAUCCUUGCUGCAUGGUGGGGGUUGGAAAGCUUCGGCGGUUUUGGAUGGACUCGCGGCUUAUCAGCUUGUUGGUGGGGUAGUGGCUUACCAAGGCUUUGACGGGUAGCCGGCCUGAGAGGGCGACCGGCCACAUUGGGACUGAGAUACGGCCCAGACUCCUACGGGAGGCAGCAGUGGGGAAUAUUGCACAAUGGGCGGAAGCCUGAUGCAGCAACGCCGCGUGCGGAUGACGGCCUUCGGGUUGUAAACCGCUUUCAGCAGGGGCGAAGCUUGUGGUGACGGUACCUGCAGAAGAAGCACCGGCUAACUACGUG